rnacentral:lncRNA from 1 species
GUGGUUUCGGUUUUCUUUUCUUUAGAGCUGUUGGUGGUGUCCUACCGGAGAAAUCCAAGCCAAGUGGACGCACGGACGUACUAUGGAAAGUGGAGAACAGGAUCACAAGGACCUGCCUUGGGAACAGGCCCGGCUUCAGGCAGUGAAGAAGAGGCCUCUGACAUAGCGGAUUAUGCCCAACGUGAUGUGCUUGUCCAAUGGAACGUCCGCUCCGACGCAACGCUGUGGGGGAAAAACAUGAAAGCGCACCAUCACCACCAAAGAAGACGCGCCAUCCCCCGUUCUUGCCAACUCGUCCGUGAAAGAAGUGGAAGGUUGCACCUCGACGUCUCCAUUGUAGCUACCUCUGAAGGAGGAAUUGUGUUUGUUCCGAAACGUCAGGAAAAUAAAUCCAUUUCUUGGU